GAUUAACGCUAGCGGCAGGCAUAAUACAUGCAAGUUGAACGAGAUAAGUUUUAGCAAUAGAACUUUGAAAGUGGCGCACGGGUGCGUAACACGUAUGCAACCUACCUUUUACUGGGGAAUAGCCUCUCGAAAGAGAGAUUAAUACCCCAUAAUAUAUUGAUAAGGCAUCUUAUUAAUAUUAAAGUUACGGCGGUAAAAGAUGGGCAUGCGGCUGUUUAGGUAGUUGGUGAGGUAAUGGCUCACCAAGCCGACGAUCAGUAGGGGGUCUGAGAGGAUGUCCCCCCACACUGGUACUGAGACACGGACCAGACUCCUACGGGAGGCAGCAGUAGGGAAUAUUGGACAAUGGGCGCAAGCCUGAUCCAGCCAUGCCGCGUGCAGGAUGAAGGCCCUAUGGGUCGUAAACUGCUUUUGCACGGGAAGAAACCUCACUACGUGUAGUGAGUUGACGGUACCGUGAGAAUAAGGAUCGGCUAACUUCGUGCCAGCCGCCGCGGUAA
rnacentral:rRNA from 1 species